rnacentral:rRNA from 1 species
GACGAACGCUGGCGGCGUGCUUAACACAUGCAAGUCGAACGGAAAGGCCCUGCUUGCAGGGUACUCGAGUGGCGAACGGGUGAGUAACACGUGGGUGAUCUGCCCUGCACUUCGGGAUAAGCCUGGGAAACUGGGUCUAAUACCGGAUAGGAGCCAUUUUUAGUGUGAUGGUUGGAAAGUUUUUUCGGUGUAGGAUGAGCUCGCGGCCUAUCAGCUUGUUGGUGGGGUAAUGGCCUACCAAGGCGGCGACGGGUAGCCGGCCUGAGAGGGUGGACGGCCACAUUGGGACUGAGAUACGGCCCAGACUCCGACGGGAGGCAGAAGUGGGGAAUAUUGCACAAUGGGCGCAAGCCGGAUGCAGCGACGCCGCGGGGGGGAUGACGGCCUUCGGGUUGUAAACUCCUUUCGCUAGGGACGAAGCUUUUUGUGACGGUACCUAGAGAAGAAGCACCGGCUAACUACGUG